rnacentral:lncRNA from 1 species
UGUGGUGCAACGUGGCGUUGGUGGAUGGAGCGAGACAUGAUGUCCCAGAUGUGCUCAAUUGGAUUCAGGUCUGGGGAACGGGCGGGCCAGUCCAUAGCAUCAAUGCCUUCCUCUUGCAGGAACUGCUGACACACUCCAGCCACAUGAGGUCUAGCAUUGUCUUGCAUUAGGAGGAACCCAGGGCCAACCGCACUAGCAUAUGGUCUCACAAGGGGUCUGAGGAUCUCAUCUCGGUACCUAAUGGAAGUCAGGCUACCUCUGGCAAGCACAUGGAGGGCUGUGCGGCCCCCCAAAGAAAUUCCACCCCACACCAUGACUGACCCACCGCCAAACCGGUCAUGCUGGAGGAUGUUGCAGGCAGCAGAAUGUUCUCCAAUGCGUCUCCAGACUCUGUCACGUCUGUCACAUGCUCAGUGUGAACCUGCUUUCAUCUGUGAAGAGCACAGGGCGCCAGUGGCGAAUUUGCCAAUCUUGGUGUUCUCUGGCAAAUGCCAAACGUCCACAGGUGGGGGUUGUGCUUACAGCCCAACACCGUGCAGGACGUUUGGCAUUUGCCAGAGAAC